rnacentral:tRNA from 1 species
GGAGAGAUGGCUGAGUGGUUGAUAGCUCCGGUCUUGAAAAUCGGUAUAGUUCUUUGAGACGAACUAUCGAG